rnacentral:piRNA from 1 species
UUUUUUUUGUUGAAAAAAAUA